AUUGAACGCUGGCGGCAGGCCUAACACAUGCAAGUCGAGCGGAUGAGAGGAGCUUGCUCCUGGAUUCAGCGGCGGACGGGUGAGUAAUGCCUAGGAAUCUGCCUGGUAGUGGGGGACAACGUUUCGAAAGGAACGCUAAUACCGCAUACGUCCUACGGGAGAAAGCAGGGGACCUUCGGGCCUUGCGCUAUCAGAUGAGCCUAGGUCGGAUUAGCUAGUUGGUGAGGUAAUGGCUCACCAAGGCGACGAUCCGUAACUGGUCUGAGAGGAUGAUCAGUCACACUGGAACUGAGACACGGUCCAGACUCCUACGGGAGGCAGCAGUGGGGAAUAUUGGACAAUGGGCGAAAGCCUGAUCCAGCCAUGCCGCGUGUGUGAAGAAGGUCUUCGGAUUGUAAAGCACUUUAAGUUGGGAGGAAGGGUUGUAGAUUAAUACUCUGCAAUUUUGACGUUACCGACAGAAUAAGCACCGGCUAACUCUGUGCCAGCAGCCGCGGUAAUACAGAGGGUGCAAGCGUUAAUCGGAAUUACUGGGCGUAAAGCGCGCGUAGGUGGUUUGUUAAGUUGGAUGUGAAAUCCCCGGGCUCAACCUGGGAACUGCAUCCAAAACUGGCAAGCUAGAGUAUGGUAGAGGGUGGUGGAAUUUCCUGUGUAGCGGUGAAAUGCGUAGAUAUAGGAAGGAACACCAGUGGCGAAGGCGACCACCUGGACUGAUACUGACACUGAGGUGCGAAAGCGUGGGGAGCAAACAGGAUUAGAUACCCUGGUAGUCCACGCCGUAAACGAUGUCAACUAGCCGUUGGGAGCCUUGAGCUCUUAGUGGCGCAGCUAACGCAUUAAGUUGACCGCCUGGGGAGUACGGCCGCAAGGUUAAAACUCAAAUGAAUUGACGGGGGCCCGCACAAGCGGUGGGGCAUGUGGUUUAAUUCGAAGCAACGCGAAGAACCUUACCAGGCCUUGACAUCCAAUGAACUUUCCAGAGAUGGAUUGGUGCCUUCGGGAACAUUGAGACAGGUGCUGCAUGGCUGUCGUCAGCUCGUGCCGUGAGAUGUUGGGUUAAGUCCCGUAACGAGCGCAACCCUUGUCCUUAGUUACCAGCACGUUAUGGUGGGCACUCUAAGGAGACUGCCGGUGACAAACCGGAGGAAGGUGGGGAUGACGUCAAGUCAUCAUGGCCCUUACGGCCUGGGCCACACACGUGCUACAAUGGUCGGUACAGAGGGUUGCCAAGCCGCGAGGUGGAGCUAAUCCCACAAAAUCGAUCGUAGUCCGGAUCGCAGUCUGCAACUCGACUGCGUGAAGUCGGAAUCGCUAGUAAUCGCGAAUCAGAAUGUCGCGGUGAAUACGUUCCCGGGCCU
rnacentral:rRNA from 1 species